GGCCAUUAACACCACUAUUGUUUUCCCCAGAACACAAGAGAUACAGAGGACAAAGGUGAUGCCGAAUGCGGUGUGUCGCAGCAUGCAGGACCACUCAGAGGGCCGACCAAUGAAGGUCAGAGAA